CCCUUAGAUGUUCUGGACCGCACGCGCGCUACACUGUUCGACGCAGCGAGUCUUAACCUUGACCGAAAGGUUUGGGUAAUCUUCAGCAAAGUCGAACGUGAUGGGGAUCGAUCAUUGCAAUUAUUGAUCGUGAACGAGGAAUUCCUAGUAAGUGCAAGUCAUCAGCUUGCGCUGAUUACGUCCCUGCCCUUUGUACACACCGCCCGUCGCUACUACCGAUUGAAUGGUUUAGUGAGAUCUCUGGAUUGACGCUGGCUAGGGGGCGACCCUUGGCCAGGCUGUCGAGAAACUGCUCAAACUUGAUCAUUUAGAGGAAGUAAAAGUCGUAACA
rnacentral:rRNA from 1 species